CUAAGACAUGCAGUCAUCUAGUUUGGGUUCCUUCCCAGAGUUUACCUUUGCCUGCGCCCCGGGACAUUCAGAGAGUGACAGAUUCCAGUAAAGCUUUAUUUACAGAUUUUGCCAGAUGAGCAUGUAGCCUGUGAACUAUAAUUGUGGAUUUCCAGCUGUUACCAGAAAUCUUGGUAUGCAGUUUGGGAGCCUGCAGCAUGUUUAUGAAUCAGCUACUGGUCACUGCUUAGAAAUCAAGUCCUAGAUCACUCCUUGGAAAUCAAUUUAUGAAGAGAGGGCUCAGCCUUACAGCUGUCCCUGUCAGAACCCCAGACAUUCGAGGGAGUUUAUCCUGCGUGUCCCAGGCUCACUGGGGCUGCCAGCCCAAUGGACCUGAGUGGGUGACUCCAACUGAUGCCAUGAGAAGAACAGCACCCAACUACGCUCAACCAACCUGGAGAAUUGAGCAAAAUAAAUCACACACAUGAUCUCGACCAGUCCACACCUAGACUGAAUUCAGCAUUGCUCCUGGGUACCUGAGGACCCAAAAACUUGGAUUGACUUCAAAGGAGAUGAUUAAAGGAAGGGGGAAUUGGAAGUGACUCCCUUGAGAAAAGAUUAAAGGAGGCCACUCGAGGAAACUGACUGAGCAACAGCUGGGGAGCAAAAUGAUAAAAGCUACAAAUACCUGGAAUGUGCAAACACCAAAAACAUGCAAAGCCUGCAGAGGUGAACAUUACUUCACAGAAGCGCCUACCACAGAGUGGUGGCUAUUUCCCUUCUCACCAGCAAUUUCAGCUUCCCAGUUGUAGUGUUCAGCUCCGUUUUACAUCAAUAGUGAUUCCAUGCAGAGCCGAAGCUCUGAACGCGAGAAGGGUUGCAGAGCUGGGGCUGAGCCAGGGACCAUGAAAUCUUCAGAGACCUGCCUGAGAAACUGGGUCUCUAAAUCAAUCUUCCAUCAAAUGCUCCACAACGGAGAGAGAAAUGUGCCUAUGUUGGAGGAGGAAGGCUGGAAGAACAGCGGGCAUUAUGCAUGAAAGAUUCCUGGCCUGGGAGCAAAUAAACUUCCAGUUCUUCUCCUGUCUCUGAUACUCACUAGUACAUGACCUUGGACCAGACACUGAUGCACCAGAGCCAUCACUGCUCUCUGCUUUUUAACAGGAAGAUCUUGCUCUUCAUACCCUGCAGUGCUGUUGGUGAAGAUCAACUGAGUAAUCCAUGUGCAAGUGCUCUGAAA